CCAUAAAACUAUUCUCAGUUCGGAUUGUAGGCUGCAACUCGCCUACAUGAAGCCGGAAUCGCUAGUAAUCGUGGAUCAGCAUGCCACGGUGAAUACGUUCCCGGGCCUUGUACACACCGCCCGUCACACCACGAGAGUUUGUAACACCCGAAGUCGGUAGGGUAACCUUUAUGGAGCCAGCCGCCGAAGGUGGGACAGAUAAUUGGGGUGAAGUCGUAACAAGGUAGCCGUAUCGGAAGGUGCGGCUGGAUCACCUCCUUUCUAAGGAA
rnacentral:rRNA from 1 species